ensembl:lncRNA
UGAACUCUGCAGGAGAAACGGCCCUCGAUGUUGCGCGCAGGCUGCAGCGCGCGCAGUGUGUCGAGCUGUUGGAGUUGGCCCAUAGUGGGAAGUUUAACUCCCAGAUUCACGUGGAGUUCAUGUGGGAGACGCAGUCUCAGGAGUUUUACGACAGCGAGGAUGACCUCGAUGAGCGGGUGAGCCCGUUGCCCAAAAACCGCUCUCCUCCAUCCUCAAAUGGAGGGGGGUGGAACUUCCUUUUCCCGCUAUAGCGUGCUUAAUGGUGCCAGUGGUACUGCUGGGAGUAGGCCUUGUCAAACGUACGAGAAUCUAGACUUUCUAUACAAAAAUCCUCCCGCCAACAGCGCUCCCUCUGGGACGUCAUUGGCUCCACCACUGCCAGCUAAAUCCAUUCAGAGAGGUUGCUCGGACCCCCAGAUUUCAAUCACAACACAGGAAGGCAAACCCCUGCCACGAAGUUGCUCCAUCCCGGCCUCCCACUCCUCCAGUCCUCCGACGCAGGCGAGACACGGGCCCCCUUCGCCCAACACAGAAAACCAACGGUUGAGACCACCCAGGUCCCCGCUCGGCCAGGCGACUCUGCCCAAGGCACAGAGGCAGACUUGGGAUGGCCAAGCUGGUGUCCCGCCAACGUCCACUCAGAGCUGCAUAGGGCCGGUCAGUUCAGGGAAGACGACGUCAUAUCGUCGGAGCAGCAGCGGCGCAGGCGCACAGGGGAAAUGUGGUGUGUUGUCUCCGAGUUGUAUGAGCAGCCAGGAGGAGCUGUACUGCAGCCUGGUGGGGAACAGUCCAGGCCUCACCCCAGCUGCUGCUGUCCCAGCACCCCCGUCCUCACCUGCAGUGACCUGUAUCUCACGACCCCGCAGGAAUGCUAUGGCCUCUGGCAGCAGGCCACAUCUGAAGCGUGUCAAGGCUUUGGUGGACUGCAGAGCAGUAAGUUCUGAGCAGCUUGCCUUUUUCAAAGAUGAGAUCAUUGUGGUCACAACCACUACUGACGCCUUCUGGUGGAGCGGUCACAUAGAGGGGGGACCCAUCCAGGUGUGGGACGUUUCCUGUCAACUAUGUCCACAAACUAACAGACUGAAGCGACAGGGAAAUAAGACGCUACUGUUCAUACACAACAGAGGAACUGAACCAGCAUGGGAUGCUUACUGCAAGUCACGCCGUAGACUUACAGGACGGCGUUAA